GACGAACGCUGGCGGCGUGCUUAACACAUGCAAGUCGUACGGUAAGGCCCUUUCGGGGGUACACGAGUGGCGAACGGGUGAGUAACACGUGAGUAACCUGCCCACAACUUUGGGAUAACGCUAGGAAACUGGUGCUAAUACUGGAUAUGUGCUCCUGCUGCAUGGUGGGGGUUGGAAAGCUCCGGCGGUUGUGGAUGGACUCGCGGCCUAUCAGCUUGUUGGUGGGGUAGUGGCCUACCAAGGCGGCGACGGGUAGCCGGCCUGAGAGGGUGACCGGCCACAUUGGGACUGAGAUACGGCCCAGACUCCUACGGGAGGCAGAAGUGGGGAAUAUUGAACAAUGGGCGCAAGCCUGAUGCAGCAACGCCGCGGGCGGGAGGACGGCCUUCGGGUUGUAAACCGCUUUCAGCAGGAACGAAGCUUUUUGUGACGGUACCUGCAGAAGAAGCACCGGCUAACUACGUG
rnacentral:rRNA from 1 species